rfam:Chlorella variabilis unplaced genomic scaffold CHLNCscaffold_18, whole genome shotgun sequence.
GGGGCUGUAGCUCAGUGGUAUGAGCGACCGCUUCGCAUGCGGUAGGUCCCGAGUUCGAUCCUUGGCAGCUCCA